UGGCUUUCCAUAUGCUCGUUAUUAUCAAUAUCCUCAUAAUAUGUCACACUUUACUCAUGUUAGACAUUGUCCUCCUAAUUCUGUGCAACUGAACCACCAAGUUUCUGACACAGCACCAAAUGCUGCUAAGUCUCAAAUUUAUUUGUGGCCAUAUCGGACUCGUAUAACUGAUGGUGCACACUUAGUGAAAUUGGCUCCAGACUUGCCCCCUGUAAAUCUUCCACCAACUGUUCGUGUAAUUUCUCAAGCAGCUUUCAAAAGCAACCAGUGCAGAGUGCCUAUAAAGGUAUCUGCCUCAGGAGGUAGUAAUAGUGAUGCUGGAAAAGAAAAUAUAGUUCCUCAGCUUCCACAUGUUGCAAAUUUGAGAACCACCAGUUUGGCAAAAGCUAAAAGGGAUAAAAGCAAUCAAGUGACAGAUGAUGUCACAAAUUCAUGCCCAGAAGAGCUAACAAGUUCACAUCGUGAAGAAUCUUCAGUUCUCCAUGAUACAUGUGGUGCUGAAGAGAGGGGUGCUGAUUCAGAUCUUCAGAUGCAUCCGUUACUGUUCCAAGCUCCUGAAGAUGGACGUCUAUCAUAUUUUCCACCGAGUUGUAGAACUGGUACUUCUAGUUCUUUUACAUUCUUUUCAGCAAAUCAGCCUCAGUUGAAUCUGAGUCUCGUUCAUGGUCCACACCAAGCAAAUCACAUUUCUGGUUGUUUCAAUAAAUCUUCAAAGACAAAGGAAU
rnacentral:misc_RNA from 1 species